rnacentral:rRNA from 1 species
CAGCAGCCACGGUAAUACGAGGGGUGCAAGCGUUAUUCGGAUUGAUUGGGUGUAAAGGGUGUGCAGACGGCUUAUUAAGUCAUUUGUUAAAUUCUUCGGCCUAACUGAAGGUCUGCAAGUGAUACUGAUGAGCUAGAGGGUGGAAGAGAGAAGUGGAAUUCUCGGAGUAGCGGUAAAAUGCGUAGAUCUCGAGAGGAACACCAAUGGCGAAGGCAGCUUCUUGGUCCAUUCCUGACGUUCAUACACGAAAGCGUGGGGAGCAAACAGGAUUAGAUACCCGCGUAGUCCCUGUCUCUUAUAC